rnacentral:rRNA from 1 species
CCUACGGGAGGCAGCAGUAAGGAAUAUUGGGCAAUGGGCGCAAGCCUGACCCAGCAACGCCGCGUGAAGGAAGAAGGCUUUCGGGUUGUAAACUUCUUUUGUCAGGGAAGAGUAGAAGACGGUACCUGACGAAUAAGCCACGGCUAACUACGUGCCAGCAGCCGCGGUAAUACGUAGGUGGCAAGCGUUGUCCGGAUUUACUGGGUGUAAAGGGCGUGUAGCCGGGUUGACAAGUCAGAUGUGAAAUCCUGCGGCUUAACCGCAGAACUGCAUUUGAAACUGUUGAUCUUGAGUACUGGAGAGGCAGACGGAAUUCCUAGUGUAGCGGUGAAAUGCGUAGAUAUUAGGAGGAACACCAGUGGCGAAGGCGGUCUGCUGGACAGCAACUGACGGUGAGGCGCGAAAGCGUGGGGAGCAAACAGGAUUAGAUACCCCAGUAGUC